CAGGGCCAAACCCGCGGCUGAAGCCGCCCGCCCCCGCCCGGGCGCAGAGAGCUGUGCGGGUCCCCGGCGAGUCACCUCGCGCGCCCGGCGUUCGGCGUCCAGCAGCACCCGCUCGUGGAGGCGACACUCCCGCACGACCAGCCGCCACUCCCAGCGCCUGCCCGCUGCAGGACGCCCGUUCCGCCCAGGGCCGAUGGCUCCUGCUCCGAGGCACCCCUGCCUGCCUUCUACUGCCCAGCCUGGGAGAUGGGGUCCAGCUCUCUCUGGUCCCACCCUGGGACCUCAUCCUGCUUCCCGAGAGCCUCAGUCCAACAGUUCACGUGCAGGGGAUCUGGCCCCAGGUUCUGGAGACUAGAGCCUUGGGAAAGCCGUUGGGCUUCCAAGCCUCCUCCUGGCCAAGGGCCUCCACCAGAACCUCUUCUGAAGCCCUCAUCUGAAAAUCUAAUACAAGUAACACUGACAAGUUAUCUACCUCCCAGGGGGUUUGGCCAUUAAAUGAAUCAGGACAGCACGUGGGAGUGUCUGGCAAGGAACAAGGGGCACACAGCUGGUGCUCAUUAAAUGCCCUCUGAACCAUG